AUAGAACCAAUGAGGGAAAAAGUAGGUAAUCAUCAAAUGGAUAGAGAGAAAGUGUCCGAGGCUGAAAACACUUUUACAUAUUGAGAUUAAUGAAAGACAUUCCUUAGGCUCCGCAUCGAAAAAAUGAGUAGGUGCUGGACGUAGCAGGCGUUAACUGUUUAAGUGGAAGUAACAAGCUUCAAUUAGGGUGGCAACGCGGGAAUAUCUCGUCCCUAUU
rnacentral:ncRNA from 1 species